AAUGAACGUUGGCGGCGUGGAUUAGGCAUGCAAGUCGAGCGAGAACCCUCCUUCGGGAGGGGGACAGCGGCAAACGGGGUAGGAGUACGUCGGUUACGUACCCCCAGGACCGGGAUAGCCAAGGGAAACUUUGGGUAAUACCGGAUAACAUCUGCGGAUCAAAUGGUGUGAUUCCGCCUGGGGAGCGGCUGACGCGGUAUUAGCUAGUUGGUAGGGUAACGGCCUACCAAGGCGAAGAUGCCUGGGGGGUGUGAGAGCAUGGCCCCCACCACUGGGACUGAGAUACUGCCCAGACACCUACGGGUGGCUGCAGUCGAGAAUCUUCGGCAAUGGGCGCAAGCCUGACCGAGCGACGCCGCGUGCGGGAUGAAGGCCCUCGGGUUGUAAACCGCUGUCAGGGGGGAUGAAAUGCAUGGGGGUUCUCCCCCAUGCUUGACAGAGCCCCAGAGGAAGCACGGGCUAAGUUCGUGCCAGCAGCCGCAGUAAAAC
rnacentral:rRNA from 1 species